CUCAGAUCAUGUAAGAUUUUAAUGAUCGAACAGAUCAAAAUUUUAAACUUUUGCAUUUAAAUUUUAUCUUAAUCCAACAUCGAGGUCGCAAACUUUUUUUUUUAUUUGAACUAAAAAAAAAUAUUACGCUGUUAUCCCUAAGGUAAUUUUUUCUUAUAAUCAUUAUUAAUGGAUCAUUUAAUCAUUUAUUUAUGUUUAAUUUUUAAAAAAAGUUAAUUUAAUUUUUCUAUCACCCCAAUAUAAUAAUUAAUUUUAUUUUAAUAAAAAUUUUUAUAUAAUUUUAAAAUAAAAAUAAAUAUAAAACUCUAUAGGGUCUUCUCGUCUUUUAAAAUUAAUUUAGCUUUUUAACUAAAAAAUAAACUUCUAAAAAUAAAUAAGAGACAGUUUAUAUUUCAUCAAAUCUUUCAUACAAGUUUUCAAUUAAAAAACUAUUGAUUAUGCUACCUUUGUACAGUCAUUAUACUGCAGCCCUUUAAUUAUUAUCAGUGGGCAGAUUAGACCUUAAAUUAUAUUCAAAAAGACAUGUUUU
rnacentral:rRNA from 1 species